UUUAAGCAUAUCACUCAGUGGAGGAAAGGCAAACAACUGUGAUUGCCCCAGUAAUGGCGAGUGAACAGGCAAAGAGAUGGCUCUCCCUGAACCCUGGCUAUCCCAUUGCAAAUCUUCUGCAAGCGGCUCUAGUGGAUCCUGCAAACCAUGUGGGCUGUGGAUCCAUUGGAUGUGAUUUGGCAUGUGCCAGCAUUGGCAGAGCCCUGGAAUGGCUCACCCCAGAGGGAUACUGUCCCCCACCAGUUUGGCUGCUGAGUCAGUACCAGUGGAAUCCAAGAGUAGAGUGGCUUGGGACUGCAGUUUGAAAUGCAAGGUGUAUCCCUUGCAAGGCUAAACACUGGCAUGGAACCGACAGAGCACAAGUAAAGCGAUUGAAGGAUGCAAAGGACUUUGCAAAGAGGGUUAAAAGUCCCUGAAGCUGUGGCAGGAACGGCGGAGAGUGGUGUUGUGGAUCCCUGGCCUUUCCCAAGGGGAACUUGCCCCUGUGCUGCUGGUGGUUUGUGGAUCUCUUGAAUGCUGGAUCCACUCCACUGGUGGCCAGGUGGCUCUCAGAAUCCCCAAGGCCAGUCAACUUGAAUUGGCAUCCAAGCAACCCUGGGCCAACCCGGAGCUGGCCACUGAGCCCUUCCCACAAGGGUUGGAUGUUUCAUGGCAGAUUCUGGUGGUACCAUGCGUGCCAGGGCCUGAGGCUUUGAUUGUGGAGCUUCUGCAGUGUGCAUUCAGAGACCUCUUUGGAGGCAACCAACACCAGUGUGGAAUCCUGGAGACUUGCUGGAAUCCCCUGGCAUUUCCACGGAUUUGCCAGUGUCCUGUGUGCUGAACAUGGCUGAGUUGUGACAGCUUCUUGGUGGCAGCACCACUGCUGGUGGUGGCCCUGUGGAGCCUGUGUGAAUUCCCAGUUGGUGCAUGGGCAGACAGCAGUUGAGCUUGGUUUGAUCAGGGCCACUCUCUGCCCGUCUUGAAACACGGACCAAGGAGUCUAUGGAGCUUGCCUGUUGAAGGGUGUCAAACCCAAUUGUGCUUGGUGAAAGCAACCAUCCCAGAUGGUGUGUGCAGAUUAGCUGUUGCAAUCCCACUGCUGUCAUGCUGGCUGUGAAUGUCCCACCCAGAGCCUUGUGGAACCCUGAGCCUGGAGAGUGUGGACAAGCCGUGUGGCAGUGGUGUGGGGCCAGUCCCUGCCUGAUCCUGCCUGGGACGCCAGUCCUGAAGUCCAGUGGACAAGGUUCUGAGUGCUUGCAAGGUCCAUGGGACCCGAAAGAUGGCGAACUAUACCAUUCUAUGGUGAAGCCGUGGGAAACUGCGGUGGAAGCCAGUAGCUGUUCUGACGUGCAAAUUGUGUAGCCUGAGUGUGGCAUAGGGGUGAAAGGCCAAUCGAGCCAUCUAGUAGCUGGUUUCCCUUGAAGUUUCCCUCAGGAUAGCUGGGUUCAGAUGCAGCAACCCUUGUGGUUUCGUCCGGUAAAGCAACGCAUGAGAGGCAAUCUCUGGGGAAGCUGUCUUCCUCAACCUAUUCUCGAACUGUGAAUGGGCGAGCCCCACAACCUGCAUGCUUCUUCACUGCGUUGGAGUCUGUCUCUGACAGUUCUCUGGCAAUCUGAGCGUGUUCCCUGAAUGGCAGCAGCCAAAGCCCUGUGGAAUUGUGUGCCCCACUCUGAGGCCACACCCACAACAGCUGUGAGAGUGUCCAGGCCAUGUUGCCAUCCAAUUGCUGAAACAAACGUGCCUCUGUGGACCAAGAUUGGUAAGCAGUGCUGGUGAUGCGGAAUGCUCCGAGAGUGGAUUUACAGAUCCAGAGUGCUGGCUCAUACCCAGAUCCCACAAAGGAUGUUGCCUGCUAGGGAUAGCAGGACGGUGGCCAUGAAGGUUGGAACCCGCUUAGGAAUGUGUAACAACUCACCUGCCGAAGCAAGCAGCUCCGAAAAUGGAUGAAGCCCAAGUCAGUGAAGCUGAAUUUGCCUUACAGUUCACUGCUGCUGUGGCAGCAAAGAAGCAGAGCAUCAGCAUGUAAAAGGACAUGGAAGACUGGCAGAGCCUGCUGGGUUUGCACCUGGCUUGAGUAUCUUCUAGAGCAGAUCUUGGUUGCAGUAGCAAGUACUCCACCAGGGGAAGAGCAGUACAACCCUGCUGUAUGCGGUUGAGGACUGAAGUGGAGCAGGUUUCCGCACCAAACAGCCGUUGAAUGCGGGUCAGCCGAUCGUGAGCCAAGUGGUAAAUUCACCGAACAACCAAAGCUGCCAUGCCCUCUCUGGCCAGGAAACACAUGGGUUCCACCCAGGAGACUUCCAGGGUUGGUUGCUAAACCUUCCCACAAAUGGCCCAGCAAGUGUGUGUGGCCUGUGGUGUGGACUGGCAGGAGUGGCAAACAGGCAAGCAUGUGCAACAUUCUGCUGUGAUGGGCUUGUGGCACCCUGGUGGUGACAUUGAUUAUCAAUGCAAUGCAGGAUCUGGGGCAGUGAAGCCCCUGAGGAGUUUUCGUUUCCUCCUGAUGCAGGCUUGAGUGGGCUGUUGAUUGGCAUGACAGAUGGAGGUGCAAGCCCUCUGCCCAGCAAGGCAACGUGUCCUCUGCGUUGAUGGACUGGAUCUUUGCAGGCAAAUGCCACAAAUCCCUUGGUAGUCACUGGCUCCAAUGAACUUCCUGUGGGCACAACGUGCCCCUGAACCCAGAUCUUCGUACUGAAUCACCGCAGCCGGUCUCCUCGGCAAGAAGCCUCUAGUCCACAGACGAAAUGCAGCUAAGGGAAGUCGGCAAACUGGCUGUGUACCUUUGGAAGAUACAGUGGCUCCAGAGGCCAAGACCUGUGGACCUAUUGUGGACCUGGUGGCACUCCACAGUGGAACUGCCCUGUGGCAGCUCUCGGGCUGUCGUGGGGCAGGGAAUUCUAUGGGCUCACCUUGUUUCUGCAGCAGGGGGCAGGGCUGCUUGCAGCUCUGUCCAACCCAGGCCUACAAGUGGCUCACAUGGAACUGUUGCUGUGCAGGGGAAUCUGACUGUUUAAUUGAAACCCAGCUUUGUGAAGGGACCAGCUGGCUGAUCCCAUGAGGUGACUUCUGCCCAGUGCUCUGAUUGUCAAUGCGAAGAGAUUCAGCCAAGCGCGGGUAAACGGCGGGAGUAACUAUGACUCUCUUAAGGUAGCCAAAUGCCUCGUCAACCAAUUAUUGACGCGCAUGAAUGGAUCAACGAGAUUCCUGCUGUCCCUAGUUGCUGUCUGGUGAACCAACUGCCAAGGGAACGGGCUUGGAUGUGUCAGCGGGGAAAGAAGAGCCUGUUGAGA
rnacentral:rRNA from 1 species